GGGCCCGCACAAGCGGUGGAGUAUGUGGUUUAAUUCGAUGCAACGCGAAGAACCUUACCAGGGUUUGACAUCCUGCGAAUCUCUUGGAAACGAGAGAGUGCCUUCGGGAGCGCAGUGACAGGUGGUGCAUGGCUGUCGUCAGCUCGUGUCGUGAGAUGUUGGGUUAAGUCCCGCAACGAGCGCAACCCUCGUCCUAUGUUGCCAGCACGUAAUGGUGGGGGACUCGUAGGAGACUGCCGGGGUCAACUCGGAGGAAGUGGGGACGACGUCAAGUCAUCAUGCCCCUUAUAUCCAGGGCUGCAAACAUGCUACAAUGGCCGGUACAAAGGGCAGCGAAACCGCGAGGUCAAGCGAAUCCCACAAAGCCGGUCUC
rnacentral:rRNA from 1 species